rnacentral:misc_RNA from 1 species
AGAAAACAGAUCAGAACAAAGGCCUGUUGCCGCCUUGGAACAUGUGCACACACCUUGCAGAUAGUGCAUUACAAGCAGAUAAUAGUGAACUAGCUUUUACUUCCUUGGAGUUCUUUGUGAAAUGGAUUGUUAGAGGUGAGACUGUGAAGCCCCCUGUUUUACUCAGUGUAGGCGAAGGACUGCUUGUGGCUGCACUUGGAACUGCUGGUAGAACAUACAAUGUGAAACUCCUGAAUGGUGCUUGGGAAGUCCUUAAGCGCUCACUACGGCAAAUGAGGAUCCCUAACCCUGAGUCUUUCCUUGCAAAGAUGUAUGCCCAUGCAUCAUUGGGACAAUUGCAGAAUGCUUUUGCUACCCUGCAUGAGUUUGAGAAAGCUUAUGCUAGUUCUAAAGAUGAGAGUGCAGAAGAACUAUUUUCUCCCUUUACCUCUUUGAAUCCACUGGCUGUUGCUUGCUGCAGGAAUGGUUUUGUCACCCUGGACUCUGUUUACUAUCAGCUGGAGAAUUUGAGCCGAGCAGACCCCCCUUUCAAGUCUCUUGCUGCACUCAAUUGUGUAAUUUUAGGCUGUGCCAAUAUAUGGGAUAUUGAUCGUGCUUAUCAGACAUUUGCUGCAAUUGAAUCCACUUUUGGAUUAACCCCAGAUAUCCAUUCAUACAAUGCGCUGAUAUAUGCAUUUGGGAAGCUUGGCAAGAGGGAUGAAGCCACAAAAGUCUAUGAGCACUUUAUGGAUUUAGGAGUGAAGCCAAAUGAAAUGACAUAUUCUCUACUUGUUGAUGCUCAUCUUAUUAAGCGAGA